rnacentral:lncRNA from 1 species
AAAAAAAAAAAAAACAAAGAGAGAAAGACUAAUACAUGGAGUCCCUUGCCAAAGGAUGCAUAGGACAUAGAGACCACUCAUCUGGAGCUCAGAAGUCUCCCAACUCGGUUAUGAUGUUCUGAUCUGGCCACCCCGUCCCCAUCUCCUGGGACUGUUCACAUCUCAGUUUUUCUUUUAACAGAUGGUGUCAGAAGUGGGAUCUGAAGUAGAGGUUGUAACGAUCCCCAGGAGUGCUGAGUGAACAAGCAAGUUACCUGCAGAAUCCACUGUGUCCUUUGAUCUGUCACAGCAGCUGGGGUUCCUGGU